GGAAGACUGAUCCAGCCAUGCCGCGUGCAGGAUGAAGGCCUUCGGGUUGUAAACUGCUUUUGUACGGAACGAAAAGACUCUGGUUAAUACCUGGGGUCCAUGACGGUACCGUAAGAAUAAGCACCGGCUAACUACGUGCCAGCAGCCGCGGUAAUACGUAGGGGGCAAGCGUUGUCCGGAAUGAUUGGGCGUAAAGGGCGCGUAGGCGGCCCGGUAAGUCUGAAGUGAAAGUCCUGCUUUUAAGGUGGGAAUUGCUUUGGAUACUGUCGGGCUUGAGUGCAGGAGAGGUUAUUGGAAUUCCCAGUGUAGCGGUGAAAUGCGUAGAGAUUGGAAAGAACACCA
rnacentral:rRNA from 1 species